UCUUUCUGCCAAAGAAUUGCAAGAGCAAGUUAGAAGUGGUGAUGCCAGUGCCACAGAGCUUUUUGAACUUGGAGCUGUGAUGUUGAGGAGAAAAUUCUACCCAGCUGCAACCAAAUACCUUCUUCAGGCAGUAGAAAAGUGGGAUGGAGAUGAUCAGGAUCUUGCCCAAGUUUACAAUGCCCUUGGUGUCAGUUAUGUACUUGAUGGGAAAAUUGACAAAGGAAUUGCUCAGUUUGAAAAUGCUGUAAAAGUUCAACCUGGUUAUGUCACGGCAUGGAACAACCUUGGCGAUGCAUAUGAGAAAACCAAAGACUUAACAUCUGCUCUAAAUGCAUUUGAAGAGGUACUUCUUUUUGAUCCUAACAACAAAAUAGCUCGUCCUAGGCGCGAUGCAUUGAAGGACAAAGUAACAAUGUAUAAAGGAGUAUCAGUGAAAUCUAAGAAGAGUUGAUAUAGCUAGCCCAUUAGUUCUUUUACACACUUGUGCUGAUUAUCUUUUUGAGGAGCUCUUUUUGUUCUCUUUUUCCGCUUUCUCCUACACAAGUGGAAUUCGUUGUCAUGGCCAUGUUGAAGUUUUGGAUGUUCCAUAAUAGAAGUUGUUUG
rnacentral:misc_RNA from 1 species